AUUGAACGCUGGCGGCGUGCUUAACACAUGCAAGUCGAUCGGUAACGCGGGGGCAACCCUGGCGACGAGAGGCGGACGGGUGAGGAACGCUUGGGAAUCUGCCCUUCAGCGGGGGACAACCCGGGGAAACCCGGGCUAAUACCGCAUACGCUCCAUGGAGGAAAGCCGGGGACCGCAAGGCCUGGCACUGAAGGACGAGCCCAAGUCGGAUUAGCUAGUUGGAGGGGUAACGGCCCACCAAGGCGACGAUCCGUAGCUGGUCUGAGAGGACGAUCAGCCACACUGGGACUGAGACACGGCCCAGACUCCUACGGGAGGCAGCAGUGGGGAAUAUUGGACAAUGGGGGAAACCCUGAUCCAGCGACGCCGCGUGGGUGAAGAAGGCCUGCGGGUUGUAAAGCCCUUUCGGUAGGGACGAAAGCUCUCGACCUAACACGUCGGGAGGUUGACUUAACCUACAAAAGAAGCACCGGCUAACUCUGUGCCAGCAGCCGCAGUAAAAC
rnacentral:rRNA from 1 species